rnacentral:lncRNA from 1 species
CAGUUUUUUACUAAUUCUACACUCUACAUUACUUACACUCCAUUACUACAUUACUUACACUCUCAAUAAUGCUAAACUAAUACCUUAUUACAGUUCCCACCUUACUACGUUUUACUAGAAAGCUGUGGGUACAAAAUAUACUAAUUUUUACAACUCUCUCUAUGAUCAGGUAUAGUGUACAUCUAACAGCUGCAUACCCACUGAUCUCUAAAAAGAAAGUAAAUCGUGAUAUAAAGACCUGAGUUAAGGGAAUAAUCAUUUCAAUUUUCGAGGAAGUUUUUGAUCGUU